rnacentral:rRNA from 1 species
CGCGUAGGUGGCCUUCUAAGUCGAACGUGAAAUCCCUGGGCUCAACCCAGGAACUGCGUCCGAUACUGGAAGGCUUGAAUCCGGGAGAGGGAUGCGGAAUUCCAGGUGUAGCGGUGAAAUGCGUAGAUAUCUGGAGGAACACCGGUGGCGAAGGCGGCAUCCUGGACCGGCAUUGACGCUGAGGCGCGAAAGCUAGGGAGGCAAACG